GAUGAACGCUGGCGGCGUGCCUAAUACAUGCAAGUCGAGCGAACGGACGAGAAGCUUGCUUCUCUGAUGUUAGCGGCGGACGGGUGAGUAACACGUGGAUAACCUACCUAUAAGACUGGGAUAACUUCGGGAAACCGGAGCUAAUACCGGAUAAUAUUUUGAACCGCAUGGUUCAAAAGUGAAAGACGGUCUUGCUGUCACUUAUAGAUGGAUCCGCGCUGCAUUAGCUAGUUGGUAAGGUAACGGCUUACCAAGGCAACGAUGCAUAGCCGACCUGAGAGGGAGGUCGAGCAGCCUGGAUCUGAGACACGGUCCAGACUCCUACGGGAGGCAGCAGUAGAGAAUCUUCCGCGAUGGGCGAAAGCCUGACGGAGCAACGCCGCGUGAGUGAUGAAGGUCUUCGGAUCGUAAAACUCUGUUAUUAGGGAAGAACAUAUGUGUAAGUAACUGUGCACAUCUUGACGGUACCUAAUCAGAAAGCCACGGCUAACUACGUG
rnacentral:rRNA from 1 species